UAAUUCUUGGACCUAAUCAUUUCCUGCAAUAUUUGUGUUUUUCCUCUUAAAUGGCUGCAGAUUUAAAGAUUCCAAACAAGGGUAUCAUUUCUGUCACCUCUACAUUGAGAGGAGAUCCUCCAGCAUCAUCCUUGGUUCCAAAUAUGGUCACGCCCACCAUCCCUUCCGAUGUACUAAUCCCAUCACAAAACAUCAUACUAGCCAACAAAACCCUUUCCAAAGAAUGGCACCGGAUCAGAUUUUUCAGUGCAUCCAAAAAAUGGAGGCCCAUAUUUCGUUCCUCAAAGGUUUAAUCCCAAGGACAAGUGCCCCACUAGGGACACCUACCCCAGAAGCAGGAAGAAUCAUGGAAGCAAAUCCAUCCGGAGCAAAGGGAAAAACAUAGGAAGUCACCCGGUCAACAAAUAAUAACUCAGGAAGAAAGAACGGACAAGACGUGGAGAGCGAACAAGAGGAGUAAUCUGACGAAAUGCCACACCCACAAAUAAAUUAGAGAUUGGUGAAAGCAGUAAAAAAAUACCAAAAACAAGUAAAAAAAGAUGACAUCGGCAUGGGAGAUGAAUCUCCACUGUCCGGGCCAAUCCUAGCCGAACAAUUCCCAUCAAAAUUCAAAUUGCUUACCCUCGAUAAGUACGAUGGGACAACAAAUUCGAGGAGCCACGUUGCGAACUUUCAAACAACCAUGAUGCUCCAAAAUGUGAAUGACUACUACCUGUGCCGAGUAUUCCUGACAACAUUAAUCAAUUUGGCACAGAAAUGAUACCAACACCUCAAGCUUAGAUCAAUCUAGAAUUUCCACCAGCUUGUCACUGAGUUUAAGAAUAAGGUCAUCUCUUCCAUACCUACUAAAAAGCUGUCUUUUGAUCUUCAAAAAGUCAAACAGCAUGAGGGUGAAUCAUUGAGAGACUACAUUGCUCAUUUCAACACCGAGGCAAUACAAGUAAAAAACUUAAACCAUGGGAUAGCAUGUAAAGCUUUAAAAAAGAGGACAAUGAAUAUUAAAUUUUCAAAUUCACUCAUAAAAAACCCUACAGCAAAUUAUUACCAACUAAUGCAGAGGGCCCAAAAGUACAUCAGAUUGGAUGACGAACGACAAGUCUUCAAAGAAGAAAGGAAGUCCGGGCAGAAUAAUGACAAGAAACAGAACAGGAAGAACAAUAGCUUGGAUCAGAUUUACCGAUCAAAUAGAAAUGAAGAACGGAACAUAACAAGAU
rnacentral:misc_RNA from 1 species